rnacentral:tRNA from 1 species
AAGUUAAAGCUUUAAAUGAAGUAUUUUACUUACAUUAAAAUGAUUAUAAUUAUUAUAUAGCUUGA